rnacentral:misc_RNA from 1 species
AUGAUAAAUUACGAUUCAGUUAACAAUGCAAUGCACCAAGGACGUGAUUAUGAAAAAAAAAAGAAACAAGAAAGAAAAAAGUCAAUUCUUUACUUAAUAGAGAAUUUUUUAAGAACAGAAGGGUACACAACAACGGCAUCGAGUUUAGUAGAAGAAGCUUUUCUAAAUACAAAUCAUCAUGUAGUUUGCGAUAAUAUAGAUUUAGAUACCAUUCUCAUUGAGUACGAAAACUAUUAUUAUUUACGUUAUCAAAAAAAACCAAAAAUUAGUAAACCAUUGGAUAUUGCUAAGACUAGCACUACUUUUGCUAUAAAGAAUAAAACCAAAACUACAAAAAAAACUAACCAAAGUCCAAGUCAAUACUCUCAAGACAAUCAAUCACUAGACACGAAUUUUAUAACAAUAACUCCUUUAAAUAAUUCGUGCGUUGAAACUUUAGAAAAUGAAUAUUCUCUACCUUCUAUUGAUCUCGAUUAUUGGAAAGACGAAUGGAAAGUUUACGCCGAAAUUAUUUCAAAAGAUAUUUUAAUGACAAACCCCAAUGUGAAAUGGUCUGACAUUAAAGGACUUUCAACGCCUAAAAAACUAUUAGAUGAAGCCAUCGUAUUGCCAACAAAAUAUCCAGAUUUAUUUACUGGACUAUGUACCCCAUGGACUGCAAUGUUAUUUUAUGGUCCUCCUGGAACAGGAAAAACAUUACUUGCUAAAGCGGUUGCGACGGAGUGUAAUACUACAUUCUUUAACAUUACACCGAGUACACUAGUUACAAAAUGGAGAGGAGAUUCUGAAAAACUCAUUAAAGUUAUGUUCGAAAUGGCAGAACAUAUGUCACCUAGUACAAUUUUCAUUGACGAGUUAGAUACAAUAGCAUCAAAACGUAUUGACCACGAAGCUUCUCGUAGGCUAACAUCUCAAAUCUUAAUACACAUGGAUGGUCUGUCAAGUUCAAAAAAAAGAAUAUUUUUGCUAGCCACAUCAAAUCACCCUUGGGAAUUAGAUCCUGCGAUAUUUCGUCGUCUUGAAAAACGUAUAUUUAUUGACUUACCAGAUGUCCAAGCUCGAAAAGAUAUGUUUGAAUAUUAUUUGUCAGAAAUGUUACAAAAAAACAAGUACAUUAAAUGUAAAAUAGAUAGUGACAGUCUAGCACAAAAAACAAACGGUUAUUCUGGUUCAGAUAUAAAACUUAUAUGUAAAGAAACUGCAAUGCACGCUAUGCGUUUAAUGUUUAAUGUUUUGGAAAAUAAAUCAAGUAAUCAUUUCAACUGUAUAAUAACUAAUAACGAAGUCAACAAUACAAUUUCUAAAACUAAGCCAUCAACUAACGAUACAGAUAAUAAUAAAUAUAAAAUUUGGCAAUCACAAUAUGCAUCAUAUUAAAUACUUAUAUAACUUAUACUAUUGUUAUUUGUAUUUAUUAAUAAUAAUUGGGUAAACUACAGUCCGGCGAUACAACAAAUAUUGUUAAUAAUUUAAUACUGCGCACGUUGGUAUAGUAAGAAUAUUAACCAUAAAAGGAACCUAAUUACAGUGUAUAUGCAGUGCCAGAUCUACAAAUUUUGUUGCCCAGGGUGCUACCGUAAUAUUAGCACCAAUAAAUAAUUCAUCAUAAAUGAACAAUCAACAUUACAUAUCAUAGGUACGUAGCGUAGCGUUCUGUGUGGUUUCAGCAUUACUUAUGAACAUAGUUGGUUCUCUACUCUUAUUGACAACUACAUAAAUAUUAGAAUACAUUAAUAUGUCAAAUAUGUU